GACGAACGCUGGCGGCGUGCUUAACACAUGCAAGUCGAGCGGUAAGGCCCUUUCGGGGGUACACGAGCGGCGAACGGGUGAGUAACACGUGGGUGACCUGCCCUCAGCUCUGGGAUAAGACCCGGGAAACCGUAGGGUCGUAAUACCGGAUAUGACUUCAUGACGCAUGUUGUGGAGUGGAAAGCCUUGUGCGGCUGAGGAUGGGCCCGCGGCCUAUCAGCUUGUUGGUGGGGUGANGGCCUACCAAGGCGACGACGGGUAGCCGGCCUGAGAGGGCGACCGGCCACACUGGGACUGAGAUACGGCCCAGACUCCUACGGGAGGCAGCAGUGGGGAAUCUUGCGCAAUGGGCGAAAGCCUGACGCAGCGACGCCGCGUGAGGGAUGACGG
rnacentral:rRNA from 1 species